UACGGAGGGUGCAAGCGUUAUCCGGAUUCACUGGGUUUAAAGGGUGCGUAGGCGGGCAGGUAAGUCAGUGGUGAAAUCUCCGAGCUUAACUCGGAAACUGCCAUUGAUACUAUUUGUCUUGAAUAUUGUGGAGGUAAGCGGAAUAUGUCAUGUAGCGGUGGAAUGCUUAGAUAUGACAUAGAACACCAAUUGCGAAGGCAGCUUACUACACAAUGAUUGACGCUGAGGCACGAAAGCGUGGGGAUCAAACAGG
rnacentral:rRNA from 1 species